CAACAUCAAAGAUCGAGUUGCUUGCGCGCAAGCUAAGUUCCUCGUGGUGGACCGAGGCUUGGGAUGGUUGUGCGUGCCUUUGUAUACGAUUUCGGUAAUCUGUCCAUCUAAAGAUCUCUCGAUCUUCUUCUUCGUGGGGCAACUCGGGUACGUGCACUUGUAGUAGCUGCGCGGGUUCUCGCUUCCUUUCACUUGCUUUUGCCCGUACUUCCUCCAGUUGUAUCCGUCAUCUGACCUCCUCUGCAGAGUCUGAACAGCUUGAGCAUGGUGAGCUGAACCAGAUGGGUGGCGGCUGUUGCUAUCUCUGGGGGCUGUGGAUUCAGAUUUCGUAGUGGGAGUGGUGGUGCUGUAAUGUUGUUGGUGCAUCCAUGAUCGUUGGUGUUCGUCCUGUAUGACCACAUUAAAGGAUUCGUCAUCGGGAAGAAAUGGCAUCAAGACACGAAGGUCUUCUGAACUGCAACCUAUAGGAAAGGAAGAAGAGCAGGAAGGAGCAAUUGGUACCGAUGGAAUUGAGGCGGAAGAAGGGUGAAAGCAAGAUGCUUGCUUGGUUCCAUUUUGGAAAGAGAAUUCACCCAAGCACUCGUCUCCAUCCCUGAUGCCUUGCUGAUAACCGAAAGCUUGAGGAGAUCGAAACAUCUGUCCAAGGGGAUGCUUCAUAUAAGCUUAUCAUGAUUUGGAUGGCAAUCACAAGUGAGUAACAUAUGCAUAGAAUCGCACUAGAAUAUACUAAAUCACAGAAACAGAGAAGACAAAUGCUGCUUUUCUCAUGUUGUAUAGCAGAUUCACAGCUGACUCCAUGCACUUACACCAGAAGAGAGGAGAACGGGCGAGUCGAGGAGCGCAGCUGGGCUGAACCCCGCCGGAAUGGCAAAGUAGGAGGAGGAAGGAGAGAUGGGCAGUGACGGCGGAGCGAUGAACUUGAACUUGGGAAGGUCAGUUCCAUCACCC
rnacentral:lncRNA from 1 species